UCCACUUCCUGUUAAAAUAACUUAUUUAUAUAUACAGAAUAAAAUAACCAGGUGAUCAUCGCGUAUAUAGUAAUAUGUUGCGUCGCUGCUCCCUCCCAGAUAUUAUAUUAAACACUAAAGCAACUGUAUUUUGUAUUAGCAUUAGACAGUAUCCAUUUUCUCUACAAUUAAAGUUAAUACAUCAUUCUUCUGCACCUGUAUACCUCCGCCUGUCAAAAACUCCCGUCUGUAAUACACCGCGUAGAAUUCAAGUAUACAACAACUUUUCCCAGAGUGCCGGCAGCGCCUACCUGACAGUGGAGAGUGAUCGUAUCAGUGGCAGUGUAGCUAGUGGUAGACAGGGGGUGGUUGCGAAGAUGUUAUGGUGUAUCUUCAGUGGAAUUUAUAAGUUGAAAGUUUGAGGAGAGAAAGUGAUCAGUGGUGAGAGACAAAAAAUUUCCUGAGAACCAAUACGGAAAUAAUAACAAGUGUGGAAGAAACUGGUUAUACUCGUGAGCCGCGACGGAACAAGUUGUUGGCUAGCUCACAGCUGGCGACGCCACGGUGGCUCAGGUAACUCCACACGCCAGGGAGGACGCGCCCACGCCUUGCCCAAACGACCCACGCCUCGCCCAAAUGAUCCACGCCUCACCUACACGGCCAGCUGUCUGACCCUACAGCAUCCACAGCCCUCCCUGCGCCCUUUACACCCCCGUCCCACGAAGCCAACACCCUACCUGUGCAACCCAAACCCAUCCCACACAACCCACAACCCGCUUACACAGCCCAUACAACCCACACCUUGCCCAUUCAUCCUACACUUUACCCAAGCUCACAAAACAUCCUUGACGGAUAGGGGUGAGCAUCCCCUCCUCAAGUCUUACAACCUUGUAAACAAAACAUCCCCAGCAGGACCUGAGGAUGUAGAGCACCUGGGGCUGAGGCGAGGGAUGUGGAGGGGUAUGUGUGGCGAGUAUUGGUGAUGGUGGUGGCGAGUAUCGUUGGUGAUGGUGGUGGUGCUGGCCAGCUGUGGCGACUACGCCUCCGUCUGGGACUCCGCCUCGCUCUCUUCGGGGGCGUCUUAUGCUGAGAUCGUCGACUCCCAG